rnacentral:rRNA from 1 species
CACGUAGGGUCCGAGCGUUGUCCGGAAUUACUGGGCGUAAAGCGCGCGCAGGCGGUUCGGUCAGUCGAUGGUGAAAGCCCCACGCUCAACGUGGGAAGGUCCGUCGAGACGGCCGGACUGGAGGCAGGGAGAGGCCGGUGGAAUUCCGGGUGUAGUGGUGAAAUGCGUAGAGAUCCGGAGGAACACCAGUGGCGAAGGCGACACGCUGGGCCUGGCCUGACGCUCAGACGCGAAAGCAUGGGGAGCGAAC